rnacentral:rRNA from 1 species
AGAGUUUGAUCCUGGCUCAGGAUGAACGUUGGCGGUGUGCCUAAUACAUGCAAGUCGAACGGUGAUCUUAUGGGAGCUUGCUUCCAUUUGAUUAUAGUGGCGAACGGGUGAGUAACGCGUUGGUGAUCUGCCUCGAAGUGUGGAAUAACGUUCCGAAAGGGACGCUAAUACCGCAUGUGCUCAAGGUUUUUAGAAAGCUUUGAGUAAAGGAUUUAUUCGCUUCGAGAGGAGCCUGCGUCCCAUCAGCUAGUUGGUAAGGUAACGGCUUACCAAGGCUAUGACGGGUAGGGGACCUGAGAGGGUGGCCCCCCACAAUGGAACUGAAACACGGUCCAUACACCUACGGGUGGCAGCAGUAGGGAAUAUUAGAAAUGGGCGAAAGCCUGAUCUAGCGACACCGCGUGUGCGAUGAAGGCCUUCGGGUUGUAAAGCACUUUUUGGAAGGAAUAGGAAGGAAGGUACUUCCAGAAUAAGUCUCGGCUAACUACGUGCCAGCAGCCGCGGUAACACGUAGGAGGCAAACGUUAUCCGGAUUUACUGGGCGUAAAGCGCGUGUAGGUGGUUUUGUAAGUAGGGCGUGAAAGCUCCCGGCUCAACUGGGAGAGGCCGUUCUAAACUGCAGAACUAGAGGAUGGUAGAGGGAGGUGGAAUUCCAGGUGUAGCGGUGGAAUGCGCAGAUAUCUGGAGGAACACCAGUGGCGAAGGCGGCCUCCUGGGCCAUUCCUGACACUCAGACGCGAAAGCUAGGGUAGCAAACGGGAUUAGAGACCCCGGUAGUCCUAGCCCUAAACGAUGCAGACUAGACGUCGGCGGUGUAAUAGCUGUCGGUGUCCAAGCUAAC